rnacentral:rRNA from 1 species
GACGAACGCUGGCGGCGUGCUUAACACAUGCAAGUCGAACGGAAAGGCCCUGCUUUUGUGGGGUGCUCGAGUGGCGAACGGGUGAGUAACACGUGAGUAACCUGCCCUUGACUUUGGGAUAACUUCAGGAAACUGGGGCUAAUACCGGAUAGGAGCUCCUGCUGCAUGGUGGGGGUUGGAAAGUUUCGGCGGUUGGGGAUGGACUCGCGGCUUAUCAGCUUGUUGGUGGGGUAGUGGCUUACCAAGGCUUUGACGGGUAGCCGGCCUGAGAGGGUGACCGGCCACAUGGGGACUGAGGUAGGGCCCAGACUCCUACGGGGGGCAGCGGGGGGAAAUAUGACACAGUGGGGGGAAGCCUGAUAAAGCAACGCCGCGUGCGGGAUGACGGCCUUCGGGUUGUAAACCGCUUUGGCCUGUGACGAACCGUGGGUGACGGUAAUGGAUAAAGAAGCACCGGCUAACUACGUG